UGCGCGAGCGGCGAGCAGAAGCAAGGUUAUUAGAACACUAAGUAAUCCAAGCCAACCCACAUUACUGACUAACGGCGGAUAAUCAUAUUUCUUAGAGGUACUAAAUACAACUCCAUGAAUAAGCAAAAUGAAGGUUGCAUUAAUGAUAAAGAUCUCUGGGAAAACCGCUAAAAAAAGAUUGAACAUGUGAGAGGAUCCGAACGAAUUCUGCUUUCAUUUCCCCCGUAUGGAGCACUGAGUUACUUACGUUACGGUCUUCAGCAGGCAGGCUGCACUCUAGGCGGCGGCUAGGAGGGAUCGCUAGACCAGCAGCCAUACUAAGAAUUCAUGUGUAAUGAUGGUGAUUCCACACCAGGCUCAAUAAAAAAUGGAAUGUAGAAAGGGGGUCCUAAACAAAAAAGGAGUCCAUGACCCGGAGAGGUUGAAUUCAAAACUUUUCUCUCGAGUAUACCCAUUACCAAAAAAUGGAC
rnacentral:misc_RNA from 1 species